AUUGAACGCUGGCGGCAGGCCUAACACAUGCAAGUCGAGCGGAUGACGGGAGCUUGCUCCUUGAUUCAGCGGCGGACGGGUGAGUAAUGCCUAGGAAUCUGCCUGGUAGUGGGGGACAACGUUUCGAAAGGAACGCUAAUACCGCAUACGUCCUACGGGAGAAAGCAGGGGACCUUCGGGCCUUGCGCUAUCAGAUGAGCCUAGGUCGGAUUAGCUAGUUGGUGGGGUAAUGGCUCACCAAGGCGACGAUCCGUAACUGGUCUGAGAGGAUGAACAGUCACACGGGAACUGAGACACGGUCCAGACUACUACGGGAGGCAGCAGUGGGAAUAUUGGACAAUGGGCGAAAGCCUGAUCCAGCCAUGCCGCGUGUGUGAAGAAGGUCUUCGGAUUGUAAAGCACUUUAAGUUGGGAGGAAGGGCAGUAAGCUAAUACCUUGCUGUUUUGACGUUACCGACAGAAUAAGCACCGGCUAACUCUGUGCCAGCCGCCGCGGUAA
rnacentral:rRNA from 1 species